CCCAAUGCAUAUAUAUGGACCACAUCACCAGUACUUCGCAACUUAGCUGUCGUGUAGGAUUUCACGUGGCAUUUAUUUUCCUUCUAGUUUGUAGUGCAACACACAUUCAUAUUGCAAGUUGAGAUAAUGGUCCCCCGGCUUCAUCGAUCAUUCAUCACCGUCGUCGGUCGAUAUCGUCUCUUUAGCUUAUUAUAGCUCCACAUCGAGAUUCUUCUUUCUUGUUUCUCCUACGUGUAAUAGCAUUUUUCUGAUUUUGGGAGUUCUCUAUACGACCGUUGGAUCUCUCAUUCGAUGGAUAUGAUUUAUACAUCUUUGCCUCCAAGUGGGACCUUUUUGUGUGCUCCAGUGCAUAUGAUCCCAAAGCCAAAAGAGUAUUUCCAAGUGCUUUGAUUCUCUUUCUUUAAGUUCUUUUGUUCCGUUUUUAUGAUCCCCGACUUUGCGUAUUAGCUCUAACUUCUUUUGGUCCGUUUUUACGAUCCAAAAUAUUUCUUCUUAUCACUAAAAUUUUAGUAUGCUUUUACUUUUUAGUUGUGACAUUUCUCGAGUUGAUUCGGUGUAUCUAGCAAUGGAGUUAGAGGACUAUAAUUAAGUAAAAGGAUAAUUAUAAUGUGUUCUGCACUGACUGCACAUGAAAAGAUUGCAAGAAUUAUACACUAGUGUAUAAAAACUCCAUUUCAUAAACUUGAAGUCUCUGGCGAAAAAAA
rnacentral:lncRNA from 1 species